CAGGCCCCUGCGGCCACAGCCUCGCCUCCGAGGGGACCAGGGCCGCCUGAGCAGUCGGGAAGCAUCUAGAACAAACCAGAUCCAUGGAAAAUCUUCACUCAGGAGGCAGUUCUUUAGCCAAGGGCAUCUAUCACCUGUGAGUUCUUUUCAGCCUAGGAUGGAUUCUGGAUUCUCUUUGGACUCCGGGGCCUCUGUAGCCCUCCCUGUACGGCCAGCACCCUCUAUCUGUGGACGUCCCAGCUGUCCCUACUGUUACUUGCUUGCCUGUGACAAAUAUGGGGCUGGCACUUCAGCAGAGAGAAGCAGCAGCAGGAGUUGAUCAAUUCCUAAGCAACAAAGAUCCUGUUUUCAUGCAAACGUCCUCAGCAUUAAAACAAAAACAAAUUCUUCCCGGGGCGCGUCCUGGAUGCCAAGUCUCCUUGCAAGACACAUUUUUAAGCAGGGUUUUGCGCCUGCGUGAGAGACCAACAGGGAACGGGAGGAGAGCUGUGUGCCAACUGCCAAGUGUUAGGAGACGAUGCAGGACCUGAAGGUGGAAUGGCAACAAGUGCCUUGAGUUAUGAACAGGUAGGGACCGCUGAGGCCUUCCCGAGGAGGGAGUUAUACUGAUUCCACCCAGGGGUCUCCGAACAGAUGGUGUUGGUCUGGUCCUGCAGGACCUGGGUGCCCACCAACACCAGUGCUGUUGGAACAUUGCCAGGGUCACUGGGCUAGCCCAACAGUUACAGAAACAUCCACAGGGCAUCUGGCCUCCAGCUGGCUCCAGCGGUUCCGGGAGUUUUGUCCUUUAGGAUAACACACAUGAACCGAUUAAGGGCAGGCCGCACGAUUCACUUUUGGCCAAUAACCAGCAGUACCAGGACUGUGACUGCUGAGUACCGUAAGAUCACCUGGUACCACCCCCUUCCUGCUGAUGCCUUGCCCAUGGCUCAUGGUCGAGCCAAGACACUGGCUCAAACCUCUUUUCUCCUGCUCUCCGAAACCCUCCUCUGCUCACAGGGAGGGAUGCCCUGGCUUUAGUGCAUGCCCAGAAGCACCCAGUGGGCUCAGGCCUGGGAGAUGCAGAGAAUGUAGCACCAGGCAGCAGCCUUCUCCAGCCAGUCUGAGCGCGAUUCCAGGGUAAGAGGGGCUCCUUCCUCAUCUGCUUCUCUUCCAGCACCUACCACAGCAACAGGGGCUGCGCAGGCCAAGGUCUGGUGCUGGGCACAGCAAGUGGGGAAGUCUGGCUGGAGCAAAGGGCCUAUAAAGGAGCUUCGUGACAAGAAUCAGCUAUAUAGAGU